rnacentral:rRNA from 1 species
GGAGGCAGCAGUAGGGAAUCUUCGGCAAUGGACGAAAGUCUGACCGAGCAACGCCGCGUGAGUGAAGAAGGUUUUCGGAUCGUAAAACUCUGUUGUUAGAGAAGAACAAGGAUGAGAGUAGAACGUUCAUCCCUUGACGGUAUCUAACCAGAAAGCCACGGCUAACUACGUGCCAGCAGCCGCGGUAAUACGUAGGUGGCAAGCGUUGUCCGGAUUUAUUGGGCGUAAAGCGAGCGCAGGCGGUUUCUUAAGUCUGAUGUGAAAGCCCCCGGCUCAACCGGGGAAGGUCAUUGGAAACUGGGAGACUUGAGUGCAGAAGAGGAGAGUGGAAUUCCAUGUGUAGCGGUGAAAUGCGUAGAUAUAUGGAGGAACACCAGUGGCGAAGGCGGCUCUCUGGUCUGUAACUGACGCUGAGGCUCGAAAGCGUGGGGAGCGAACAGGAUUAGAUACCCUGGUAGUCCACGCCGUAAACGAUGAGUGCUAAGUGUUGGAGGGUUUCCGCCCUUCA